rnacentral:rRNA from 1 species
AGGACGAACGCUGGCGGCGUGCUUAACACAUGCAAGUCGAACGGUAAGGCCCUUCGGGGUACACGAGUGGCGAACGGGUGAGUAACACGUGGGUGAUCUGCCCUGCACUUCGGGAUAAGCUUGGGAAACUGGGUCUAAUACCGGAUAUGACUACGAAUCGCAUGGUUUGUGGUGGAAAGCUUUUGCGGUGUGGGAUGGGCCCGCGGCCUAUCAGCUUGUUGGUGGGGUGAUGGCCUACCAAGGCGACGACGGGUAGCCGGCCUGAGAGGGUGUCCGGCCACACUGGGACUGAGAUACGGCCCAGACUCCUACGGGAGGCAGCAGUGGGGAAUAUUGCACAAUGGGCGCAAGCCUGAUGCAGCGACGCCGCGUGAGGGAUGACGGCCUUCGGGUUGUAAACCUCUUUCAGUAUCGACGAAGCGCAAGUGACAGUAGGUACAGAAGAAGGACCGGCCAACUACGUGCCAGCAGCCGCGGUAA